rnacentral:rRNA from 1 species
AUUGAACGCUGGCGGCAGGCCUAACACAUGCAAGUCGAGCGGAUGACGGGAGCUUGCUCCUUGAUUCAGCGGCGGACGGGUGAGUAAUGCCUAGGAAUCUGCCUGGUAGUGGGGGACAACGUUUCGAACGGAACGCUAAUACCGCAUACGUCCUACGGGAGAAAGCAGGGGACCUUCGGGCCUUGCGCUAUCAGAUGAUCCUGGGUCGGAUUAGCUAGUUAGUGGGGUAAUGGCUCACCAAGGCGACGAUCCGUAACUGGUCCGAGAGGAUGAUCAGUCACACUGGAACGGAGACACGGUCCAGACUCCUACGGGAGGCAGCAGUGGGGAAUAUUGGACAAUGGGCGAAAGCCUGAUCCAGCCAUGCCGCGUGUGUGAAGAAGGUCUUCGGAUUGUAAAGCACUUUAAGUUGGGAGGAAGGGCAGUAAGCUAAUAUCUUGCUGUUUUGACGUUACCGACAGAAUAAGCACCGGCUAACUCUGUGCCAGCCGCCGCCGUAA